GUACCCUCAAGCUCUGCUUGGUGUUGGGUGUUUGUCUCGCCUUCGCGCGUGGACUCGCCUUAAAGUGAUUGGCAGCCGGUAUAAUUCUGGGGAACGCAGCACAACUGCAGCCUCCAUCUUACGCCGAGCGUCCAGUAAGCCUAUUUUUCAC
rnacentral:misc_RNA from 1 species